rnacentral:pre_miRNA from 1 species
AAAUGUCUUAUACUCCCUCCGUCUCGUAAUGUAAGACGUUUUUAUAAGCUAUGUUAGUCUGUAAAAAAAAGUCUUUGCAAAAACGUCUUACAUUAUGGGACGGAGUGGUAGUAUUUGCAACG